UAUCCGACACGAGAAAAACACGAACGAGGCAAGGCGAGUCAUAUUCGGGACUGGUCUGCCGCGCAAGAGCUGCAAAAUUUUAGUUAAUUUUUCCUGACACAGCAAACGGAAAAAAGUGAGAUACGUCCAGGGUGUAAAGCAGCGCUGGACUUGAAUUCACGGAAUCAACUUGCAGAAUCCCGAAAAGUAACGCGAGUACGUCGCGCGCCUUCGUGUGUGUCAUCUGCUGCUCUUCGUUUUGAAGGGUGAAAACGUUCACAGUGUUUUUAUUUUCCCGUGUGGUGAGGCUGUGCGCUCAAUAAUUCUCCUCGUCAAUUCACCGAGUGAAAUCAUACGGUGCGAAAUAGUUAAUUGAAAGGGAAACAAAUAAGCAAACAAGCUGGGGAUAGCCGAGCCCCCUGUACGCGCGUCUGUGUGUGUCCGUAAUCGGUAAAGUUCCAUUUUCCGGAGCUCAUAUUACACACGCCGAUUCCUCUAGCACCGCCCUAGCUAGACCGAAAUUAUCCCAGCAGGUGCUGCCCGCAAGUCAAUGGUUGCUGCAAGCGAGGUGAAAAGUCGGUGAAACUUUUUAGGAGAAAUUUUAAAUACGUUCCAAAAGACGCAACUUUUGUGAAGACCACCACCAGCGGUUCUUGCGAAACGAUACCGUUGGACCGAGGAAGAAUAAAAAAGAGCAACCAGCCUCGGAUAGUUUGCAGCCAGCGAUAGCAAUCUUAUCACAAUGGAUAAAAGGAAAUUAUCAACGUCCGGCGACACUCUCUACCAAACACUGGGAAUACAGAAGACGGCAACGGCGGACGAGAUUAAGAAGACAUACCGGAAACUCGCCCUAAAGUACCACCCGGACAAGAAUCCCAACAAUCCAGAUGCAGCAGAAAAGUUCAAAGAGGUAAAUCGUGCUCAUUCCAUCCUGAGUGACUUGACGAAGCGAAACAUCUACGACAACUAUGGAUCGCUCGGAUUGUACAUUGCGGAACAGUUUGGCGAGGAGAACGUCAAUGCGUACUUUGUCGUUACGUCGCCUACGUGCAAGGCACUGUUUAUGAUUUGUGGUAUUAUCACCGGAUGUUAUUGUUGCUGCUGUUGCUGCUGCUGCUGCAACUUCUGCUUUGGCAAAUACAAACCGGUACCGCCGGAAAAUGCUGGAGACUAUCAUCAUCUACACAGAGAUGGUGCCGCAAGUAGUAGCAACGCGCGGGAAGGAACGGCCGUCACAGAACAGCCAUCGCGAAGAGAGGAUUUGGCAGAUCUGGAAGAUAAUGGAGGCGGCAGUGGUCCGGUGACGUCGCAGCCACAGGCCGGACAGGCGCAGGGUGCCGGCAUGCCCGUGUACGCCAUGCCUCCACCACCAUCGUCCAAUCCAACGAAUCCGUUCACCGGAACCGCCACCGAGAGCACGGGGCUAAACACGGGCAACCAACCGAUCUACACGCCAGGCCACUAAAACAGAGCACACAUUACGAUUUGGAAUUCGAUACCCAGCUUCUGCUAUAAAAACGCGUUACAAAAAAACAAUAAGAAAAUAUGGUAAACCGAUCAUCCUUUGCCCUCUACGCUACGUAGCCAUUAUCUUGCAUAUUUGCUCCAAUUUUGAAGAACCAAUCGUGUGCACUUUACUGUGCUGCAUUGCUUGUGUAGUGGUAUAUCUUUAGUUUGAAUAAAGCACGGUAGAAGCGUCCUGUUCGCCUCGAAUGGGGGAAAAAACGCAAUGCGCCUAAGAGCAGAAUAUUUCCCUAGUAGUGAAUAUGUAUGAAGUGAGCGUAUAAAUCAUCGCCAUCAAUAAAGCUGGUUGGUUCGAAGGAAAUGUUACGUCGGUCGGUCGGUCGGCUUGGCCCGGCCAUACUUCUCCUUGGUGUGCAGCGAAUAGCACCGAACCAAAUCCAAAAGCAAAACCCACAUACAAUAUGCUGUAACAAUAAUAAUAACAAAACUGUACUAUUUCGUCGCCCCAAACCGAGCGAUCUGCUGCGCGCCCUGCAACAAAACAAAAAGAAAAACCGGUGGAUCGAACCUGGUGAAACUGGAACACCACUUGGAGCAGGGAAGGCAUCGGGAGCAGAGAUGAAGUAUCUUUUUAUGAUAUAUUUAUGCGUUAAGUAAUGGAAGCUAGUUCGUAGUUUUCAUUUUGAAGGUGGAUCAUACAACUGUUGUUUGAGUAGAAGAUCCUAUCUCUCUCUCUCUCUCUCUCUCUCUCUCUCUCUCUCUCAGUUUGUGAGCGUAUGCGUCUAGGUAUAUUAAUCCUAAAGGGAGGUAUAGAGAGAGAGAGAGAGAGAGAGAGAGAGCAAAAGAGACGCUUUUCCCCAUGGAAAGUCUUUAUCGCAGAGUUCAAGACGUAUGAGUCAAGAAAACAAAAUCAAAAGCAACAUUCAAUAUAACCAAGCUCUAACCUUUAGUUUACCCUUGCUGUACCGUAACCUAUAGCAAAACUCACAAGAAAAAGGCAAAACCAACCUUUGGGUGAUACGCUCAAUACGAUACGACGAUGCGGAAGUACACAUAGCACUAACCCCAUUACCAUUUAUCACUCUUUUUACGUGAUCGCAGUCCACAAGCAUUAGCAAAGAGUUAGAGUUCUCCGGUUCUCUGAAGUGUUAGCAGCAACACGGAACAGAAGUCUCUGUUCAGUUAAAGAUUUAGGCAUAAAUAACUACAAAGAACAAAACCAAUAAUUAAAAUCGAUCAAUCGGUGUUAGGAAACGUCGGUGUUUCCUUCUCCUCAUUUAUUAAGUGUUACUAUUUCAAUUUUUGCAAAUACUACUUCAAUUUCCAAUGUGUCCAACGGCAUCGGCUGGCUUGAGAUGUAACAAAACAACAAGACACGUAGCAAAAUCAUAUUUGCGCAGCAGAUGAAAAUCGAAAUGAGUAGUAAGACGUUGAGAGGAAAAAUGAGCGAAGGAAGGAGGAAAGAAUAUAUCUAUAUACAUACAAACAAAAAAAAACAAUUCAUAAAUCUUAUAUCCAUUUAUCCCAAAUUUCCAAAGCAUAUUUGAAGCACGAACCUUACAAAAAGAGGAGGACCGUUAUGAGAGAAAGGACGUUGAUUGUGUUUGUGUGAUUGUGUGUGUGACUCUGUUUGUGGUAGGCAAGAACAAGAACCAGGCAACUAUUUCGCGUAGUGUGGGACGCUGGGGAAGAACCGAUUAGCAACACGAGGAAAGGAAUCCAACAACGACGAGCCACAGAUAUUAGCGACAACUUUGCAGGACAGGACAGGACGGACUAUUUGGACGAUGGAGUUAGGGACGAUGAACGGAAUACGCCGCCGACGGCAGGAAAUUAUAUAUUGUAAAAUAUAUUUCACCAUAGAGGAGGAGGAUGUACGUACCCGCGACCCAGCCGAUGGGGACGGGCGGCCGUUCUUGGAUUUGGGAUGGGACGCGGUACUAAAGACAUUACAAUAAUCGUUGCGGAGAAAAGUAACAGGAAGCAAAAUAAACCAAGACCUGAACGACGAAACAUUCAUUGCCACGUUAUGCAAAAUCCAUAAUACGCAUUAGUGCAA